rnacentral:rRNA from 1 species
AGACUCCUACGGGAGGCAGCAGUGGGGAAUAUUGGACAAUGGGCGAAAGCCUGAUCCAGCCAUGCCGCGUGUGUGAAGAAGGUCUUCGGAUUGUAAAGCACUUUAAGUUGGGAGGAAGGGCAUUAACCUAAUACGUUAGUGUUUUGACGUUACCGACAGAAUAAGCACCGGCUAACUCUGUGCCAGCAGCCGCGGUAAUACAGAGGGUGCAAGCGUUAAUCGGAAUUACUGGGCGUAAAGCGCGCGUAGGUGGUUUGUUAAGUUGGAUGUGAAAGCCCCGGGCUCAACCUGGGAACUGCAUUCAAAACUGACAAGCUAGAGUAUGGUAGAGGGUGGUGGAAUUUCCUGUGUAGCGGUGAAAUGCGUAGAUAUAGGAAGGAACACCAGUGGCGAAGGCGACCACCUGGACUGAUACUGACACUGAGGUGCGAAAGCGUGGGGAGCAAACAGGAUUANAUACCCUGGUAGUCCACGCCGUAAACGAUGUCAACUA